GCUCUGAUAGCUCAGUCAGUGGAGCAUGAGACUCUUAAUCUCAGGAUUAUGGGUUUGAGCACCACACUGGGCA
rnacentral:tRNA from 1 species